GUUACAUAGUUUUACAAGUCUUUGAUUUCUUGUCUAUUAUCAAUAAGUUGAUGUUCUCAUUAGCUGGGUAAUCCAACUCGAAAAAUUGGGAUGCCAGGAAUUGUUUCAUCCUAACCAGAUAAUAAAUUGCCAGUUUUCUCCUUUCAUUAGCAUACAGGAAGUCAAACAAUAAGCUGCUACAAAGGGACAAGGUCAUCAUUAUAGCUCAUUAUCACAGGAAGUGGGUUUUAUUACAAAUGACCUUGACCUUAGGAGACAGAGUAUUAAGUGCAGUUUCCAGAGCACUUAAAUCUUUAACAAACUUUAAUACCAGACAAUUCAGGCACUGGUUAAUGCAAGGUUAAACCAGUCAAAGCUAAUGCUUGACAAUUAUAUGAUCAGAUGAAAUGAUGGGACAUGGUGUAAAAUGAAGACAUCAAAAUUGACUAAUCACUGGCUGAACUGAGAACCCUUCUGUAACUUCCAAAAACAUGAUAAAUGUCACUUUAAAAUGCAGUAAAAUUUGGAAUUACCAUUGUCUACUCCUCAGAUUGGUUACAGAAACUAUGCAUUAAUAU